GUGGUGGUGGUAGUAGUGAUGGUGAUGCUAGGGUUUCUCUAUCGCAGCAGCAUAAUGAAGAUGAAGAGGAGAGGGAAAAGCCUGCACCUCCUUGUACGGAGUUCGAUACGGCAUAUUUUAAUUCGUAUGCUCAUGUUGGCAUUCAUGAAGAGAUGAUUAAGGAUCGUGUGCGGACAGACACUUACAGGAAUGCAAUUUUUCAGCAUCAAC
rnacentral:misc_RNA from 1 species